GAUGAAGAACGUAGCGAAAUGCGAUAAGUAAUGUGAAUUGCAGAAUUCAGUGAAUCAUCGAAUCUUUGAACGCACAUUGCGCCCGCCAGUAUUCUGGCGGGCAUGCCUGUUCGAGCGUCAUUUCAACCAUCAAGCCCCCGGCUUGUGUUGGGGACCUGCGGCUGCCGCAGGCCCUGAAAAGCAGUGGCGGGCUCGCUGUCACACCGAGCGUAGUAGCAUACAUCUCGCUCUGGGCGUGCUGCGGGUUCCGGCCGUUAAACCACCUUCAUACCCAAGGUUGACCUCGGAUCAGGUAGGAAGACCCGCUGAACUUAAGCAUAUCAAUAAGCGAGGA
rnacentral:misc_RNA from 1 species